GCGGAAUUCGUGGUGUAGCGGUGAAAUGCUUAGAUAUCACGAAGAACUCCGAUUGCGAAGGCAGCACACUAAGCCGUAACUGACGUUCAUGCUCGAAAGUGUGGGUAUCAAACAGGAUUAGAUACCCUGGUAGUCCACACGGUAAACGAUGAAUACUCGCUGUUUGCGAUAUACAGCAAGCGGCCAAGCGAAAGCGUUAAGUAUUCCACCUGGGGAGUACGCCGGCAACGGUGAAACUCAAAGGAAUUGACGGGGGCCCGCACAAGCGGAGGAACAUGUGGUUUAAUUCGAUGAUACGCGAGGAACCUUACCCGGGCUUAAAUUGCAAAGGAAUAAUCUGGAAACAGGUUAGUCUUCGGACCUUUGUGAAGGUGCUGCAUGGUUGUCGUCAGCUCGUGCCGUGAGGUGUCGGCUUAAGUGCCAUAACGAGCGCAACCCUUGUUGUCAGUUACUAACAGGAUUUGCUGAGGACUCUGACAAGACUGCCAUCGUAAGAUGUGAGGAAGGUGGGGAUGACGUCAAAUCAGCACGGCCCUUACGUCCGGGGCUACACACGUGUUACAAUGGGGGGUACAGAAGGCAGCUACACGGCGACGUGAUGCUAAUCCCUAAAGCCUCUCUCAGUUCGGAUUGGAGUCUGCAACCCGACUCCAUGAAGCUGGAUUCGCUAGUAAUCGCGCAUCAGCCACGGCGCGGUGAAUACGUUCCCGGGCCUUGUACACACCGCCCGUCAAGCCAUGAAAGCCGGGGGUACCUGAAGUGCGUAACCGCAAGGAGCGCCCUAGGGUAAAACUGGUAAUUGGGGCUAAGUCGUAACAAGGUAGCCGUACCGGAAGGUGCGGCUG
rnacentral:rRNA from 1 species